UGCNAGUCGAACGGCAGCACGGGCUUCGGCCUGGUGGCGAGUGGCGAACGGGUGAGUAAUACAUCGGAACGUGCCCUGUAGUGGGGGAUAACUAGUCGAAAGAUUAGCUAAUACCGCACACGACCUGAGGGUGAAAGCGGGGGACCGUAAGGCCUCGCGCUACAGGAGCGGCCGAUGUCUGAUUAGCUAGUUGGUGGGGUAAAAGCCUACCAAGGCGACGAUCAGUAGCUGGUCUGAGAGGACGAUCAGCCACACUGGGACUGAGACACGGCCCAGACUCCUACGGGAGGCAGCAGUGGGGAAUUUUGGACAAUGGGGGCAACCCUGGUCCAGCAAUGCCGCGUGUGUGAAGAAGGCCUUCGGGUUGUAAAGCACUUUUGUCCGGAAAGAAAUGGCUCUGGUUAAUACCCGGGGUCGAUGACGGUACCGGAAGAAUAAGCACCGGCUAACUACGUGCCAGCAGCCGCGGUAAUACGUAGGGUGCGAGCGUUAAUCGGAAUUACUGGGCGUAAAGCGUGCGCAGGCGGUUUUGUAAGACAGGCGUGAAAUCCCCGAGCUCAACUUGGGAAUGGCGCUUGUGACUGCAAGGCUAGAGUAUGUCAGAGGGGGGUAGAAUUCCACGUGUAGCAGUGAAAUGCGUAGAGAUGUGGAGGAAUACCGAUGGCGAAGGCAGCCCCCUGGGACGUCACUGACGCUCAUGCACGAAAGCGUGGGGAGCAAACAGGAUUAGAUACCCUGGUAGUCCACGCCCUAAACGAUGUCAACUAGUUGUUGGGGAUUCAUUUCUUCAGUAACGUAGCUAACGCGUGAAGGUUGACCGCCUGGGGAGUACGGUCGCAAGAUUAAAACUCAAAGGAAUUGACGGGGACCCGCACAAGCGG
rnacentral:rRNA from 1 species